GGAGAGGUGGCCGAGCGGCCGAAGGCGCACGCCUGGAAAGUGUGUAUACGGCAACGUAUCGAGGGUUCGAAUCCCUCCUUCUCCACCA
rnacentral:tRNA from 1 species